GUACUGGUGAAGAGUCCCAGAGUAGGACGAAACAGCCGUCCAGUAC
rfam:Trichobilharzia regenti genome assembly, scaffold: TRE_scaffold0010883